rnacentral:rRNA from 1 species
CCAAUAGCGUAUAUUAGUGUUGUUGCGGUUAAAAAGCUCGUAGUUGAAUUUCGGGAUUGGGAUAUAUCGGUCGUGCCUUUAGGGGCAUGAAUCAGUGUGUGGCCAAUUCUCACCUUCUGGUGGAUUGGGAUGCUCUCGGGUGUUUCAAUGAACUAGGCUUUUACUUUGAAAAAAUUAGAGUGUUUAAAGCGGGCAUUUUU